rnacentral:lncRNA from 1 species
GUCUAAUCUUUUAAUUACCAAACGUGACUUAUUCCCGAUUGUGACUGUUUUGCUGAGUGUGAAUUCGCAUUACUAUAAGACGUGUUACGGUACUUGUCUAUCCCAAAUUCAUGUAUUUAGUUUAAAUGUUUAAUGUUAUAUUUGUAAUUCUCAUCGGAUUUUGUCAAAUGUGUUGACGUCUUUUCUAUUAUAUUUAUGUGUUAUGGAAACAAAAAUUAAUCACCGCCGUCAUUUAUUAGAUUUAAUUUUGGUCAACAUAAUCUGU